rnacentral:lncRNA from 1 species
AUGAAAACGCUGAGCUAUUUGAAGCUGAAAAGAUGGAGAAAAUGAUUCAGAUUCACAGAGAAACCAAUCUCCUGCUUGCAAUUUUAUGCCUAGGCAAACUCAAUCAAAUAUAAAUGGAAAAUGAAGAAUAACAACAAGUUCAUACCUGUUGACUGCCAAAACCACAUCUUCAAGCCCUUGCUCAGAUGGUAACUAAUGCUUUUCAGUUUCCCUGUGAAAUAUGGAGACAUGUAAGCCAGAGAAUUUGACUUCAACUGAGGAAGAGAAAAUGGAAUUCUUAGACUGUUGGACUGAGGACUGUACCACUCAUCCCCAGCCUGCAUGCCUGAAUCCAUGCAUGGAAAAUAUAAUGAGAGAAUUUUAAAUGACUUAUUAAAGCUGGAGUCAGGAAGUCUGCUUUUCUCAAAACAGGAAGUCUUAAGUUGAUGAGAUAUGGGUGAGGAAAUUCAUGAACGAGUAAAGGAAUACUCAUGUUUCAUGCUCAGAACAAUGUCUGAUGGAGAGUUUGUUCAUAUGAAGCCAUCAAAAAGUAGUGGAAUUGAAGUUAAUCAAAGAAAGAGAAGUAC